AAAGAACCACAUAUUCGUGAUCCUCGUAAAAUUUGUGGUAAUGCAGAGGAAACGUCGAGAAUAUGGACACAAAAACGUCGCCGGUAUCCCCAAAAUGUGAGCGCGGAUCAUCAUUUGUUAUUGGUAAUAUGU